rnacentral:rRNA from 1 species
GUUCGUAGGUGACUGCGGAGGAUCAUUAAUGAAUUUUAGGACGUUCUUUUUAGAAGUCCGACCCUUUCAUUUUCUUACACUGUGCACACACUUCUUUUUUACACACACUUUUAACACCUUAGUAUAAGAAUGUAAUAGUCUCUUUAUUGAGCAUAAAUAAAAUUAAAACUUUCAGCAACGGAUCUCUUGGCUCUCGCAUCGAUGAAGAACGCAGCGAAUUGCGAUAAGUAAUGUGAAUUGCAGAAUUCAGUGAAUCAUCGAAUCUUUGAACGCACCUUGCACUCUUUGGUAUUCCGAAGAGUAUGUCUGUUUGAGUGUCAUGAAACUCUCAACCCCCCUAUUUUGUAAUGAAAUGGGCGUGGGCUUGGAUUAUGGUUGUCUGUCGGCGUAAUUGCCGGCUCAACUGAAAUACACGAGCAACCCUAUUUAAAUAAACGGUUUGACUUGGCGUAAUAAUUAUUUCGCUAAGGACGUUUUCUUAAAAUAUAAGAGGUGCUACUAAUUCGCUUUUAUAGCAUUUAAGCUUUAGACCUCAAAUCAGUCAGGACUACCCGCUGAACUUAAGCAUAUCAAUAAGCGGAGGAAAAGAAACUAACAAGGAUUCCCCUAGUAACGGCGAGUGAAGUGGGAAAAGCUCAACUUUGAAAUCUGGCACCUUCGGUGUCCGAGUUGUAGUCUCAAGAAGUGUUUUCUGUGCUGGUCCAUGUAUGAGUCUGUUGGAACACAGCGUCAUAGAGGGUGACAACCCCGUUCAUGACAUGGAUACCAGUGCUUUGUGAUACACUCUCGAAGAGUCGAGUUGUUUGGGAAUGCAGCUCAAAUUGGGUGGUAAAUUCCAUCUAAAGCUAAAUAUUGGCGAGAGACCGAUAGCAAACAAGUACCGUGAGGGAAAGAUGAAAAGCACUUUGGAAAGAGAGUUAACAGUACGUGAAAUUGUUGAAAGGGAAACGAUUGAAGUCAGACGUGCGUGAUGCGGUUCAGCACUGGUUCGCCAGUGUGUAUUCCGUAUCUUUGCAGGCCAACAUCAGUUUCGGUAGCCGGAUAAAGGUUAGUUGAAUG